rnacentral:rRNA from 1 species
GACGAACGCUGGCGGCGUGCUUAACACAUGCAAGUCGAACGGAAAGGCCCUGCUUUUGUGGGGUGCUCGAGUGGCGAACGGGUGAGUAACACGUGAGUAACCUGCCCUUGACUUUGGGAUAACUUCAGGAAACUGGGGCUAAUACCGGAUAGGAGCUCCUGCUGCAUGGUGGGGGUUGGAAAGUUUCGGCGGUUGGGGAUGGACUCGCGGCUUAUCAGCUUGUUGGUUGGGUAGUGGCUUACCAAGGCUUUGACGGGUAGCCGGCCUGAGAGGGUGACCGGCCACAUUGGGACUGAGAUACGGCCCAGACUCCUACGGGAGGCAGCAGUGGGGAAUAUUGCACAAUGGGCGGAAGCCUGAUGCAGCAACGCCGCGUGCGGGAUGACGGCCUUCGGGUUGUAAACCGCUUUCGCCUGUGAGGAAGCGUGAGUGACGGUAAUGGGUAAAGAAGCACCGGCUAACUACGUG